AUACGCUUUUAUGAAGAAGUGGGUUUUUAACGAUUUAUUGAAGGAGUGGAGACUGAGUGAGCAUCUAACGGAGGAGGGAAGCGAGUUCCACAGGAAAUCUCAAAUCUUGAAGGCGAGCAUCAGAGAUGGGAGUAUGGACAGAAGAUAGACGUAAGUCUUCAGCAGAUCGUAAGGGCCUAAAUGGGACAUACUUGUGUAUAAGGGAGGAUAGGAAGCCAAUGUAGGGACUGACAGAAGGGUGAGGCAUGGGAGGUGUGGGCGGACAGGAAGAUGAGCCUCGCCGCCGCAUUCAUUAUGGACUGUAACGGCGCAAGUUGGGAGCACGUAAAACCACUGAGAAGCGGUACCUUCAGGCUUGUUGCUGUCUUUUCAGAGAAAAUGCAGUGUUUACAUUACAGCCAGUGAUAACUUCACUGGCCACUCCUCAGAUGGCUGUUAGAGAUCCUUCCUGGGUCAUGCCUGUCUAAAAUGCAUCCAAACAUUCAAUAUCUCCUCCCUCUGAAUGCAGGCACUGAACUUUCCUCAUUAAUUGAUUCAAUUCAUCUCUAUGAGGAGAUGCUGAUUGGGGUCAGGGCUGUGUUUGAAUAAUGCUGGCUCUGCCCCUGAUCUGCCUCUUUGUCAGUCUCAGCCAAUCCUAUGGGGAAGCACUGUGAUUGGAUCAGUCUACCACUUCUGAUGAUGUCAGCAGACUGCUUGUUUUUUUGAGGCAAACAGCAUGCAGAGUUACAGCUUCUGACUUGAAUACAGUAAGAUUUUGCUAUAUUUAUGGAGACAUGAGAGGCCCAAGGGGGAUAGAUGGUGGUUUUAACACUAUAGGGUCAGUAAUACAUGUUUGGUAAAAUGAGUGUCAUUGAGUCAUUCUAUAGGACAUAAAUAGCAUUUACAGGCACGCUAAGGCAAGAUCAAAUUUUAAUUUAUUCUUUCUGUUAAAACACUUGAUUAUUUGUUUCUCUAAACUGAUUUUAUUGUAUUUUUCUUACAC